CCCAAAAACUAAGGCUCAUAUUUAAGCAUUUCCCCUUAAAUUAGAUAAGCACAGCUCUUUUCAGGACUUGAAACGCGGUUGGAAGGCACAUAAUAGAUUUUAUUGAGUCUGUUGGUUAUUCACAUACUCACAAGGGAUUUGAAAAAGCAGUUAAACAGAAAAUAUUCUCAAGAAAAGCGAGAGACUUCACGACCCAUUGUUCCUGCUGCUGAUCAGAUGUAAAUAAUGGGCCAUACCCUCGUCCGAACGCAAUUGCGCAGAGAGAGCGAGCGAGCCAGCCAAUGAGACGUGAGCUCUGUUCUCCACCGCCUGGCAGCACUUCAGGCGCUACUUCGGGUGUUUUUCUUUUGUAAAGCGAUCGGGUCUCCCGAUUACGAGGGCUUUAACACCUUUAUUAGGGCUCCCGCAGCUGCUUGCUCUGCCCUACUCUUUACAGAGCGCCACAAGGGCCCACGCUUUGCUCCUCCCUCAGGCCCGAGGUUCCAGAGAGCGGCUUUCCACGCUGCGUUAACCCUCCCCGGCAAGGCGUCUUUUUCCCACGGCGGCCGGGCCGUUAUGUUGUCCACGAGCGAGGAGGGCGUGGGAUCUUUGGUACAGGUUCCCAGGCCGCGGGGAAGCGCGCGCCCAGCCAGGCAGCGUCCCAAGAACAAAGGUGCCGCGCCUGCGCCCCGCCACCCGCGCGGCGCGAAAUGGCGGCCGAGCCACAAAAUGGCAGCCAGGCGCCGGCGCCCCCGCCCCACCGCGGCCACGUAGAGCGGCUUCUCCGCACUCGCUGCAUUAGCUCCACGCCACCGAAGUGGAGGCGGGUGGAGGGGAAAACACAGAGCCACCAAAGAGAGGCUACGGAAAACGGGAGUCUGGCGCCCCUAAACCGCAGCUCGGCAGCCACGCCCACUGCAGGCGGGGCCCAGAUCUCCGGGCCACUGGCGCCCGCUCCACCGCGCAAACGUCCCGGGCCGCUCCGGGUGUUCCCGGACACCCCUUCCCUUUCCCUGCCCCGGAGGCGAGGGUUCUAGUCACGGCCAGAGGAAGCAGCAGCUGUGCGGUCCUCAUGCUUUUCCCCUGGAUGUGAGGGUCUCGGGCUCUCCUUGGCCGUGGCUUGAGAGUUGGGAGGCAGAGCGAUGGCCGUCUGCUUUGGAUAUUUCGCUUUCUUCUCUCAAAUGCGGCUUCGUCUUUCCAGAAACUUCUCAAGAGAAACUCAGAAAAAAGCCGCAAAUUCGGCCGCAGCCGCCUCCUUCCCGGCGCACGCGCGAUAGGGCGGGCGCAAAAGGCCGCGCGAGGGAG
rnacentral:lncRNA from 1 species